rnacentral:rRNA from 1 species
UGCUGUGAACUCGAAGAGUAGGGCGGGACACGUGGUAUCCUGUCUGAAUAUGGGGGGACCAUCCUCCAAGGCUAAAUACUCCUGACUGACCGAUAGUGAACCAGUACCGUGAGGGAAAGGCGAAAAGAACCCCGGCGAGGGGAGUGAAAAAGAACCUGAAACCGUGUACGUACAAGCAGUGGGAGCCUCUUUAUGGGGUGACUGCGUACCUUUUGUAUAAUGGGUCAGCGACUUAUAUUCUGUAGCAAGGUUAACCGUAUAGGGGAGCCGAAGGGAAACCGAGUCUUAACUGGGCGUUAAGUUGCAGGGUAUAGACCCGAAACCCGGUGAUCUAGCCAUGGGCAGGUUGAAGGUUGGGUAACACUAACUGGAGGACCGAACCGACUAAUGUUGAAAAAUUAGCGGAUGACCUGUGGCUGGGGGUGAAAGGCCAAUCAAACCGGGAGAUAGCUGGUUCUCCCCGAAAGCUAUUUAGGUAGCGCCUCGUGAACUCAUCUUCGGGGGUAGAGCACUGUUUCGGCUAGGGGGCCAUCCCGGCUUACCAACCCGAUGCAAACUACGAAUACCGAAGAAUGUUAUCACGGGAGACACACGGCGGGUGCUAACGUCCGUCGUGAAGAGGGAAACAACCCAGACCGCCAGCUAAGGUCCCAAAGUCAUGGUUAAGUGGGAAACGAUGUGGGAAGGCACAGACAGCCAGGAUGUUGGCUUAGAAGCAGCCAUCAUUUAAAGAAAGCGUAAUAGCUCACUGGUCGAGUCGGCCUGCGCGGAAGAUGUAACGGGGCUAAACCAUGCACCGAAGCUGCGGCAGCGACACUUAUGUGUUGUUGGGUAGGGGAGCGUUCUGUAAGCCGUUGAAGGUGUGCUGUGAGGCAUGCUGGAGGUAUCAGAAGUGCGAAUGCUGACAUAAGUAACGAUAAAGCGGGUGAAAAGCCCGCUCGCCGGAAGACCAAGGGUUCCUGUCCAACGUUAAUCGGGGCAGGGUGAGUCGACCCCUAAGGCGAGGCCGAAAGGCGUAGUCGAUGGGAAACAGGUUAAUAUUCCUGUACUUGGUGUUACUGCGAAGGGGGGACGGAGAAGGCUAUGUCAGCCGGGCGACGGUUGUCCCGGUUUAAGCAUGUAGGCGGAGGUUCCAGGUAAAUCCGGUACCUUAUUAACGCUGAGGUGUGAUGACGAGGCACUACGGUGCUGAAGUGAUAAAUGCCCUGCUUCCAGGAAAAGCCUCUAAGCAUCAGGUAACACGAAAUCGUACCCCAAACCGACACAGGUGGUCAGGUAGAGAAUACCAAGGCGCUUGAGAGAACUCGGGUGAAGGAACUAGGCAAAAUGGUGCCGUAACUUCGGGAGAAGGCACGCUGAUGUGUAGGUGAAGCCCCUGCGGGUGGAGCUGAAAUCAGUCGAAGAUACCAGCUGGCUGCAACUGUUUAUUAAAAACACAGCACUGUGCAAACACGAAAGUG